rnacentral:rRNA from 1 species
AUUGAACGCUGGCGGCAUGCCUUACACAUGCAAGUCGAACGGCAGCACGGGUGCUUGCACCUGGUGGCGAGUGGCGAACGGGUGAGUAAUACAUCGGAACAUGUCCUGUAGUGGGGGAUAGCCCGGCGUAAGCCGGAUUAAUACCGCAUACGAUCUACGGAUGAAAGCGGGGGACCUUCGGGCCUCGCGCUAUAGGGUUGGCCGAUGGCUGAUUAGCUAGUUGGUGGGGUAAAGGCCUACCAAGGCGACGAUCAGUAGCUGGUCUGAGAGGACGACCAGCCACACUGGGACUGAGACACGGCCCAGACUCCUACGGGAGGCAGCAGUGGGGAAUUUUGGACAAUGGGCGAAAGCCUGAUCCAGCAAUGCCGCGUGUGUGAAGAAGGCCUUCGGGUUGUAAAGCACUUUUGUCCGGAAAGAAAUCCUUGGCCCUAAUACGGUCGGGGGAUGACGGUACCGGAAGAAUAAGCACCGGCUAACUACGUG